GGGUUGUGAGGUUAAGCGACUAAGCGUACACGGUGGAUGCCCUGGCAGUCAGAGGCGAUGAAGGACGUGCUAAUCUGCGAUAAGCGUCGGUGAGGUGAUAUGAACCGUUAUAACCGGCGAUUUCCGAAUGGGGAAACCCAGUGUGUUUCGACACACUAUCAUUAACUGAAUCCAUAGGUUAAUGAGGCGAACCGGGGGAACUGAAACAUCUAAGUACCCCGAGGAAAAGAAAUCAACCGAGAUUCCCCCAGUAGCGGCGAGCGAACGGGGAGGAGCCCAGAGCCUGAAUCAGUGUGUGUGUUAGUGGAAGUGUCUGGAAAGGCGCGCGAUACAGGGUGACAGCCCCGUACACAAAAAUGCACAU
rnacentral:rRNA from 1 species